AGUUCGAUUAUGGCUCAGAUUGAACGCUGGCGGGAUGCUUACCACACACAUGCAAGUCGAACGGCAGCACGGACUUCGGUCUGGUGGCGAGUGGCGAACGGGUGAGUAAUGUAUCGGAACGUGCCUAGUAGCGGGGGGAUAACUGCGCGAAAGCGUAGCUAAUACCACAUACGCCCUUCGGGAAAGCAGGGGACCUUCGGGCCUCGCACUAU
rnacentral:misc_RNA from 1 species